GCGGAGUCGGGCUCGGCCACCCUGACGCGGUGGCUGGGCGAGGGGCCCAGCAGGCUGCCCGCCUUCGCCAGCCACCAGCUGGGAGUCGCAGCCAUUCCAAUUGAGGAAAAAGUCUGUGCACGGGGCAGACGGAAGCGGCAGUGAUUGCUAAGGAGCUAGCGCAGCUGUUGGCUACAAGUGUCACAGUCCAGAAGCUGCUCUGACAUGUCUGUGUAACAGGGCUAUGUCCCAAGCACCUGGACAAUACCUAGGCCCAUCUAGACCUCCCCCCAACCACUGCUGGAAAGGUUGCUCUAAAAAGGAAGGAAACUCAGGACCAAGAAGACGGUGUCCCAUUUCUUACACAUCACAGUGCAAGGAAGUAAUGGUGAGCCAAAACCACAGUCAGCUUGAACUCAGCCUCAUCAAAUGUGCAUGUGUCUGCCUUCCUUCUCAGCAGUCAUCCACAGACACACAGCUACAAGAAAUCAGCAAUUUCUUGUAGGCUGGUGAUGAUGGCUCAGGCCGUGCCAGCCCGGUUCAGGUUGUGCACAUCUCCCCCUGAAUGUCGUCACUUUUUCAGUCUUGGCUGCGAGGGGCCGAGUGACCCUUCUUGCUGUGACAGGAGCUGGGCUGUUGGCAGCAGGCCAGGUUGAAAGUGAGCAUUCGAAAAGCAAUGGCUUCAAUUACCAAACGGUGCUGUGGUCAGUGUGAGCUUGCAGCUAGAAAGCCAGCAGAGGGCAGCGUGGAAGCUGAAGGCAGGCUGAGUUUUUCAAUGGGCAUGUUAGAGCAUGUUUUCCUGGUGGACGAAAAUCUCACCAUUAAAAUAUGUGGCAUUAAACUCGAGUUAAGAUAAUGCAUUCUCAAAAAAAAAAAAAAAAAGAAAAGCACCGCAUUAGCACUUUUAUUUCUCGCAUUUUUGAGGAAAUAUGACUAACUGAAAGGGGAUUUUUCUGCAGUAGGUUGUGCACAGCUGAAAGUGCUGCCUAAAAGAAAAUCAUGCAGUGGGAGUGUUGUGGGUGGGUUGUCAGGAAAGGCUCGCUGUAAGAAAAAUCGAUCUGGAAAAAUUAUAGCAGGAAAACCUGCACUUUCAAAAUAUCAUUUGCUAUUGUGUUUUUGAUCACUUCAGUUACAUUCUGUGAAAAUAGAAAAUGAAAUCUCUGAGAAAAGAAGCAGUUUAAUAAAUGGGAAGAUAUGGAUUUCAUA